UACGGAGGGGGCUAGCGUUGUUCGGAAUUACUGGGCGUAAAGCGUACGUAGGCGGCUUUGUAAGUUAGAGGUGAAAGCCCGGGGCUCAACCCCGGAAUUGCCUUUAAGACUGCAUCGCUUGAAUCGCGGAGAGGUGAGUGGAAUUCCGAGUGUAGAGGUGAAAUUCGUAGAUAUUCGGAAGAACACCAGUGGCGAAGGCGGCUCACUCGGAG
rnacentral:rRNA from 1 species